rnacentral:lncRNA from 1 species
GANGCCCAGUGGAGGCCACACGCUGGCUGUUGUUCACUCCUCCUGCUGCACCUCUGGGAAGGUCUGAGACAGGGGCCACGUACCAUCCUAGCAGGAUGCUGCUUCUUGGAGGCAGGUGAGUUCCCAACAAUCUGGGUCUCCAGCACAGCCUGAGAUUGGGGCAGGAGAAGCGGCGGAGAAGUUUGUUCCCCUCCACGCAGAUGCCUCUGUGGCGUGAUGGAGAUUUGGGAAUGACUCACGGCCGGCAGCUAUGAGUACAAUGAGCGGACGUGAAGCAGCAUUGGAUGCCCGGUUUAGAAUCNUAGAAUNAUAGAGUUGGAAGGGACCUCCAGGGUCAUCGCNUCCAACCCCCUGCUCCAUGCANGAUUCACUAAACCAUC